rnacentral:tRNA from 1 species
UGUAGCUCAGUCGGAUAGAGUGUCGGUUUCCGAAGCCGAAGGUCGCGGGUUCGACUCCCGCCA